AGUGAACGCUGGCGGCAGGCCUAACACAUGCAAGUCGAACGGCAGCACAGCAGUAGCAAUACUGUGGGUGGCGAGUGGCGGACGGGUGAGGAAUACAUGGGAAUCUGCCCUGUCGUGGGGGAUAACGUAGGGAAACUUACGCUAAUACCGCAUACGACCGAGAGGUGAAAGCGGCGGACCGCAAGGCGUCGCGCGAUUGGAUGAGCCCAUGUCGGAGUAGCUAGUUGGCGGGGUAAAGGCCCACCAAGGCGACGAUCCGUAGCUGGUCUGAGAGGAUGAUCAGCCACACUGGAACUGAGACACGGUCCAGACUCCUACGGGAGGCAGCAGUGGGGAAUAUUGGACAAUGGGCGCAAGCCUGAUCCAGCCAUGCCGCGCGAGUGAAGAAGGCCUUCGGGUUGUAAAGCUCUUUUGUCCGGAAAGAAAAGCUCUCGGUUAAUACCCGGGGGUGAUGACGGUACCGGAAGAAUAAGCACCGGCUAACUUCGUGCCAGCCGCCGCCGUAAAAC
rnacentral:rRNA from 1 species